GCAUAUCAAUAAGCGGAGGAAAAGAAAAUAACAAUGAUUCCCUUAGUAACGGCGAGUGAAGGGGGAAAAGCUCAAAUUUUAAAUCUGCUAGGUUUUACUUAUCAGAAUUGUAAUUUGAAGAAGCGUUUUCCGCGUCUCGGUUGGCCCAAAUCCUUUGGGAUAAGGUAUCAUGGAGGGUGAGAAUCCCGUUCGGUUGACCUUAUGACGCUCUACGAUACGCUCUCUAAGAGUCGAGUUGUUUGGGAUUGCAGCUCAAAAUGGGAGGUAAAUUUCUCCUAAGGCUAGAUAUCGGCGAGAGACCGAUAGCGAACAAGUACCGUGAGGGAAAGAUGAAAAGAACUUUGAAAAGAGAGUUAAAUAGUACGUGAAAUUGUUGAAAGGGAAACGAUUGAAGCCAGUCGUACCGACGAGAAAUCAACCUCUCGAGUGUGAGAUUGGGUAUGCGAAAGUUUUGCGUGCUCAUAAUCUUGUGCUUUUUGGGGCGUAUUUUUUCGUAUUUGGUAGGUUAACAUCAAUUUUGGUCAUUAUAAAAUGACUGGAGGAAUGUAGCUUCGAUUUAUCGAAGUGUUAUAGCCUUUGGUAGAUGUAAUGACCGGGAUGGAGGAUUGCAACGAAUGUCCUUCGGGGCUAGCCGUCUGAUCUCUGAUAGUUACCUUGGGGUUGAAAGCUUGCUUACAGCUUCAAGAUUGAUUGUCAAAAGGUUAGAACGUGAUUAAAUUCGUUAAGGAUGUUGACGUA
rnacentral:rRNA from 1 species